rnacentral:tRNA from 1 species
GCACCAGUAGCUCAGUUGGAUAGAGCACGACUUUGCGGAAGUCGGGGUCGCAGGUUCGACUCCUGCCUGGUGCA